rnacentral:sRNA from 1 species
UGACUUCUACAUGGCUGAGAAUUUCGAUGUUCAUG